AAAAAUCAAUUACAUAUUGUCCAUAGUUAUUCAAAGAAAAAACAACCAUAAGCUGGAAUCAUAAAAGUGAUUGAAUCACACGAAGAUGUAAAAAAAAAAGAGAAAACAGUCAUUAAUAGUUAUUUCGUAGUAUUGCUAUCAUGAAUAUCACAAGUUUGGGGACCACAAGGAGAAAUUACAAACAAGAGAAAUACACCAGACGCAUCAAAAU
rnacentral:lncRNA from 1 species